UUGAAAUUAGGAAGGAUAAUGCAAGGUACCCUACAUAACCUCAUCUUGCACAAUACCUUAAAGAAAGAGAUAGAACAAGCUCAGAAGAAGGACAAAGGAAUAAGAAUACUUCGGAAAUAAGUAAGCCAAGGUGAUAUUACUUGUUUUACCAGGAUGAAAAGAGGAUGUUCUAUUUCAAAAACUGGAUAAUAGUACUCAAGAAGAUGGGCUUGAGAAAGAAGAUCUUAGAUGAAGCUUGAUGUUA
rnacentral:lncRNA from 1 species